rnacentral:lncRNA from 1 species
UAAAUUUAGAGUCCAAUUUUUGAAAAGGCCAAAAUGAGCUCUCCUAGCAUGAAGUGUGUCAGGACAAUAGGAGAUACAAACCUCAGAGGGCAGCUAACAGAGAGGGGGUGAAGAUGGGCUCCUUUGUAGCCAGAGAAACUGAGAGAGAGAGAGAGAGAGAGAGAGAGAGAGAGAGAGAGAGAGAGGGAGAGAGAGAGAAACCAGGCUUCUUUCUUUCUUCCUUUUAUUUCCUUUAAAUGUAAUAUCUUUUCAAAGUAAGCCUUUGAAGGAGUUGAGUAUCACACCCUCUGCUCUCUCUGCCCUGCUGCCUUUUAGACAUUGUUGUACCAGAGAAACAUUCAGCGCACUGUGGAGAAGCCAUGGGUGUUUACAGAGAGGAUUAAGUGAGAGGGGAAGACUGAAUGUGAACUGUACCGUGUCAUGGACUGGAGGUCUGGAGCAGAGUAAAAGGAAGAAAGGAGAAGCCAGUUGAGCAUCAGCAUCUGUCUUCUCUCUGCCUCCUACUCGAUGUGAGAUAAAGAAUUUCCUCUGCAUACAAUCCUGCCACUGUAAUAUUCUGCCCAAUUGCACAAGACAAACAACCAUGGCUUCUGGACCCUCUGACACCACGAGCCUAUACAAAUCCUUCCUCCGUUAGGUCAGUCCUUUGUGACUCCUCAUCGGGUGGCUUCCAUUCAUCUGGAGCACACAGGGCCACUAAGCCUUCAUCCAGCAGCUGGUGGAAGUAGAAGCAGACACCCACAACUAAUCACUGCACUGAACUGGAAUCCAGAUGCAGAGAAGGACGAGUGAAGAGCAAAGGGGUCCAGACCAGGCUGGUGAAACCCACAGAAACAGCUGACCUGAACAUCGGGGAGCUCUUGGUCCCCAGACUGAUAGCUGGGGAUACCAGCAUUGACUGAUCCAGACCCCAGGAACAUGGGUUUCAGUAAGGAAGCCUCAGAAAUCUACAGGACCUACUGUAGUAGUUCAGUACUUAUCCCUAGCAUAGGUGUGGACUUUGGGAGCCCAUUCCACAUAGAGGAAUACUCCCUGAGCCAAGACACACGGGAGGUGGGCCUAGGCCCUAUCCCAAAAGAUAAAAUAAACUCUGAUGACACCCUAUGGAAGGCCUCACCAUCCAGGGGGAGCAGAAAGGAUAUGUGAUAGGUAGGGUUUUAGUUGGG